rnacentral:lncRNA from 1 species
UUGUUAUGGAGGUAGGCUCUCUAGGAAUCUGGGAGUAGUAGCUGGGGGGCAAGAGCAAAUAAAGAGCUCGAGCUUCUGUGGUCUCUGGGGAGAUGUUCCCGGGAAGCCUGUCUAGAGGGCGGAGGGCAGCUGUUGAGAUGGCGUGGCUCCCCGGCUCCUGCGCCCGCGUGGCUUUCGCGGCGGGCGCUGCGGCCCGGUAUUGGACAGCCUGGCAGGGCAGCGCGGGGCCGAAUCCGGCUGCCGUGGCUGAGGCUCAUGGAUCACUCUUUUGUGGUAGGGCCACAUCUGCCAGAGCCUGGAGUCUGCGAAGGCCGGGACCCGGUUCCCCGGCCCACAGUGGGGGUGUGCAAACCCGAGAGAACUGGGUUGCAAAUUCGUGAAGAAUCAGCAUCAUGUUUGGCAGCUGAGUAUUGGAGCCAGGAGCCUGCCAUGAGGUUUUGAGAACAGAGUGCUGUUUUAGAGCUGGCAGCAGCAUCUCAGCCCAAGAGAAGGUUAUAUUCCCAGAGGAUGUCAGUCCCAAGGACCAGUAGCUGCCAUCAGUUUGGAUUCUGAAAACUAACUGGCAUCAACACUGGGUGUAGAAACAUGCUUGCCUUAUGUAUCAGAGGACAUGCUCAGCAGAUCCAAGAGAUAUAUUUGGCAACUUUUUCU